AUUUUAUUCAACGUGUAACGUAUAAGUUGGUAGACCAAUAGAAUUUAUAUGAACAAAUACUAUUUGAUUUCGGGGAAGGUAUAUUGCAAGGUGUAGUCAAGUUUGCUGAUUUUACAAUUGAAAAUAAUUUUAGAAAUACAGGCUAGAAUGCAAAAGGCUGUAGAUAAUACAAAGCCUUCCUUAAGAAUACAAAGAUUUUAUAGGGAAAAACAAGUGUGCGUUGAAAAAAAUCAUUUAUAAAGACGAAAGAUUUACAAAUUAUAACAUGAUACAUCAGGAAAAUUACUUCCGAAUAAAUUGACUAUACAUAAUUUGACUGAUGAUUGGCUAAAAGCUAUUCAGGUGAUUUGGAAAACUACCCACUUAAAUGCAGAAAACAAUUGUGAUAUAAAUAAAUCAAUGUCGGAUUGUUUUCAAGAAAGAGAAGAACUUUGAUUGCGUUAUCAAGUAGCUGUAAUUAGAAAUGCUAUAAACGAACUUGGAUGUAAAAAAUUACCUUCUGGAUAUGACCUUUCAAUGGAGGAUUCAUUUACUGAGCCAACAAAAACAAAAUCAAAAUUUACAAGAGGACAACAUUUCUAACAUUUCUAAUAGUUUCUUUGGCUUCAACCCAUAAACUUCUGUCUGAUAAACAAGCAUAAUGCCAUUGCUGAAUCAAAUCGUCUAAAGUAAUAAGAAUAGACAUCUGUGAAAAUAAC